CCUACGGGUGGCAGCAGUGAGGAAUAUUGCGCAAUGGGCGAAAGCCUGACGCAGCGACGCCGCGUGCGGGAUGAAGGUCUUCGGAUCGUAAACCUCUGUCCGCAGGGAAGAACGGUCACUGUGCUAAUCAGCAGUGAAUUUACUGUACCUGCAAAGGACGCACCGGCUAACUCCGUGCCAGCAGCCGCGGUAAUACGGAGGAUGCGAGCGUUAAUCGGAAUUACUGGGCGUAAAGCGCGCGUAGGCGGUAUGUCAAGUCAAGGGUGAAAUCCCCGCGCUCAACGUGGGAACUGCCGUUGAUACUGAGGAUCUUGAGUGGGCGAGAAGUAUGCGGAAUGCGUGGUGUAGCGGUGAAAUGCAUAGAUAUCACGCAGAACUCCGAUUGCGAAGGCAGCAUACCGGCGCCCGACUGACGCUGAAGCACGAAAGCGUGGGUAUCGAACAGGAUUAGAUACCCCAGUAGUC
rnacentral:rRNA from 1 species